rnacentral:rRNA from 1 species
UGGGGAAUAUUGGACAAUGGAGGAAACUCUGAUCCAGCAAUUCUGUGUGUGUGAAGAAGGUUUUAGGACUGUAAAACACUUUUAGUAGGGAAGAAAAAAAUGACGGUACGUACAGAAGAAGCAACGGCUAAAUACGUGCCAGCAGCCGCGGUAAUACGUAUGUUGCGAGCGUUAUCCGGAAUUAUUGGGCUUAAAGGGCAUCUAGGCGGUAAGACAAGUUGAAGGUGAAAACCUGUGGCUCAACCAUAGGCUUGCCUACAAAACUGUUGAACUAGAGUACUGGAAAGGUGGGUGGAACUACACGAGUAGAGGUGAAAUUCGUAGAUAUGUGUAGGAAUGCCGAUGAUGAAGAUAACUCACUGGACAGAAACUGACGCUGAAGUGCGAAAGCUAGGGGAGCAAACAGG